GCCCGGCUGGCGCAAUCGGUUUAGCGCGUCAGACUCUUACAAUUUGUGGGAUCUGAAGGUUGCGAGUUCGACCCUCGCGUUGGGCU